rnacentral:rRNA from 1 species
GCCAGACUCCUACGGGAGGCAGCAGUGGGGAAUAUUGCACAAUGGGGGAAACCCUGAUGCAGCGACGCCGCGUGAGUGAAGAAGUAUUUCGGUAUGUAAAGCUCUAUCAGCAGGGAAGAUAAUGACGGUACCUGACUAAGAAGCCCCGGCUAACUACGUGCCAGCAGCCGCGGUAAUACGUAGGGGGCAAGCGUUAUCCGGAUUUACUGGGUGUAAAGGGUGCGCAGGUGGCAGGGCAAGUCGGAUGUGAAAGCCCGGGGCUCAACCCCGGUAUUGCAUUUGAAACUGUCCGGCUAGAGUGCAGGAGAGGUAAGCGGAAUUCCUAGUGUAGCGGUGAAAUGCGUAGAUAUACGGAGGAACACCAGUGGCGAAGGCGGAUUGCUGGACAGUAACUGACGCUGAGGCGCGAAAGCGUGGGGAGCAAACAGGAUUAGAUACCCGCGUA